rnacentral:ncRNA from 1 species
AGUUGGACCGGGAAAGAAAUAAUAACGGAGGUCUCCCAAAGUCAACACAGUGCGGACAGAAACCACACUUAGAGAAAAAGAGCAAAGCUGAGUUUAUCUCGGAGUUCGAUAAACACCGGGACAGCAAAACCUCGACUUUUCUAUUCUUUUGGUUCAAGUAGUUUUUACCUAGAG